CCCCAGGUCAGGUGGGGCUACCCGCUGAG
rnacentral:rRNA from 1 species